UGGCACAUGCCUGUAAUCCCAGCUACUCGGGGGGCUGAAGCAGGAGAAUCGCUUGAACCCGGGAGGCAGAGGUUGUGAGCCAAGAUCACGCCAUUGCACUCCAGCCUGGGCAACAAGAAACUCCGUCUCAAAAAAACAAACAACCAAAAACAAACAAACAAACAAACAAGAAAAAAACAGAGAGUCUCACUCUGUUGCCCAGGCUGGAGUGCAGUGAUGGGAUCUUGGCUAACUGCAGCCUCUGCCUUCUGGACUCAAGCGAUCCUCCCACCUCAGCCUCCCAAGUAGCUGAGACUACAGGUGUGCACCACCACACCUGUAUUUUUGUAUUUUCUGUAGACUUGGGGUCUUGCUAUAUUGCCCAGGCUGGUCUCAAACUCCUGGGUUCAAGUGAUUCACUUGCCUCAGCUUCCCAAAGUGCUAGGAUUACAGAUGUGAGCCACUGUGCCCAGCCCAGUUUCUGACCUUAAUUAUAUUAGCAAUGUCAUAUUCUAUUUUUUUUCUUUAGAGACAGGGUUUCACUCUGUCACCCAGGCUAGAGUGCAGUGAUGCAAUAGUAGCUCACUGUAACCUCGAACUCCUGGCCUCAAAUGAUCCUCUUGCCUUGGCUUCCCAAAGCGCUGGGAUUACAGGCGUGAACCAUUGCAUCCAACAACAAUAUCAUAGUGUAUUGGCUAGAAGUAAAUCUCAGACCGGGCGCAGUGGCUCAUGCCUGUAAUCCCAGCACUUUGGGAGGCCAAGGUGGGUGGAUCACCUGAGGUCGGGAAUUCGAGACUAGCCUGACCAACAUGGAGAAACCCCGUCACUACUAAAAAUACAAAAUUAGCCAGGCAUGGUGGCGCAUGCUUGUAAUCCCAGCUACUCAGGAGGUUGAGGCAGGAGAAUCACUUGAACCCGGGAGGUGGUGGUUGCGGUGAGCCAAGAUCAUGCCAUUGCAUUCCUGCCUGGGCAACCAGAGCGAAACUCCGUCUCAAAAAAAAAAAAAAAAAGCAAAGUCACCCAGGGUCUGUCACAGGGAAUCUUGGCUGCAAAUCCAGAGCUCUUUCCAGAAACCCUCAAAGUUUUCAGAGACAUUAUUGUUUUGCUCUCUCUGCCUUGGAUGUUUCAAAUAACAAUCGCCAUUGUUUGUCUUUAUCAACCAUGUUUAUCCAUGGGGCAGGCAAGUCUGCAAAGUGAAUGAGCUGCUGAAUGGCCUGUGUUCUCACCACUUCCUUCCCCAUAGUUGGCAGCCCGGAGGCAUCCUGGACAUGAGACUUCAGUGAGCACAACAACCACCUCUGGGGCAUUUGUUUACUCAUUGCCCAAUUUUGGCCACACUGUGGGGUCAGGAUGGCACCACAAUGCGCCAUGACAGAGAAAGGGACCAAUCAAGGGAGAUACUGUUGUUCCCCAUCAUUCUGUCCUGGAUCAGUGGAGGGACACGAUAGGACCAUAUUAGGAGUUAGUAGUUAUCAAAUGCUUCCUCUAAUUCAGACAAGUGCCUAGCACUUUGUGCAUGGUUAUUCCACUUAAUGCUCAGAGCAACCCUUUAGGGUAGGCAGUAUAAUCAGCCUCAUUUCUGGUUUUUUGUUUUUUGAGACAGAGUCUCAUUCUUUCACCCAGGCUGGAGUGAAGUGGUGUGAUCUGGGCUCACUGCAACCUCCACCCCCUGGGUUCAAGUGAUUCUCCUGCCUCAGCCUCCCGAAUAGCUGGGAUUACAGGCAUGCGCCACCAUGCCCAGCUAAUUUCUGUAUUUUUAGUAGAGACGGGGCUUCGCCAUGUGGCUAGGCUGGUCUCGAACUCUUGACCUUAGGUGAUCCAUCCGUUUUGGCCUCCCAAAAUGCCGGGAUUAUAGGUGUGAGCCACCACACCUGGCCAGUCAGCCUCAUUUUAUAGAAGAGAAAGUGGAGGCUCAGAAAGGUGAAGUGACUUGCUCAUAGUCCCAUAGCCAGAACGUGGCAGAGCUGGGUCUCUCUGGUUCCCUAGCCAGUGCCUGCCCUGCUGUGUGUGCCCUUCUGUGCCUUUAGUGGAUGCCUUUCAAGAUCCCUCUUUUCGCCCAUUCACAAUGAGGCUCUGGAAGACAAAUCUCCAGGUUUUAACAGCUUGGUACUCAAUGCUAGGGAGAUUCUCUAGCCCUAUGAGAAUUAUUCUUGGCGGCCGGGUGCAGUGACUCAUGCCUAUAAUCCCAGCUACUCGGGAGGCUGAGGUGGGUGGAUCAUCUGAGGUUAGGAGUUUGUAGAUCAGCCUGGCCAACAUGGCAAAACCCUGUCUCUACUAAAAAUACAAAAAUUAGCUAGGCGUGGUGGUGCAGGCUUGUAGUCCCAGCUACUGGGGAGGCUGAGGCAGGAGAAUCACUACAACCCGGGAGGUGGAGUUCGCAGUGAUCCAAGAUUGCGCCACUGAACUCCAGUCUGGGGGACACAGCAAGACUCCAUCUCAGAAGAAAAGAAAAAAAAAGGGAAUUGUUCUUGGUAUUUUCUUCUGAGCAUGAAUCUGCCUGUUUUUUCUUGGUUCAGAAACAGCCGCUGUGUGCAGGGUUGUGCUGGAGCCAGCCCAUACCAGCUUGUGAGAACUGAUUGUUAAGUCUUCAAAAAUUUCGUUGUAUUGUUUACAACAGCCAAAAAAUGGAAAUAAAAGAAAUGCCUAUUAGUUGGUAAAUACAGCAUAUCCAGGCCGGAUGUGGUGGCUCAAGCUUGUAAUCCCAGCACUUUAGGAGGCCAAGGCAGGUGGAUCACCUGAGGUUGGGAGUUUGAGACCACCCUGGCCAACAUGGUGAAACCCCGUCUCUACUAAAAAUGCAAAAAUUAGCUGGGUGUGGUGGUAGGCACCUGUAAUCUCAGCUACUCGGGAGGCUGAGGGAGGAGAAUCUCUUGAACCUGGGAGGUGGAGGUUGCAGUGAGCCGAGAUCAUGCCACUGCACUCCAGCCUGGAUGACAGAGUGAGACUCCAUCUCAAGAAAAAAAAAAAAAAAGUGAAGAUAAUAAGUACUCAAAACUCAUCACUUUCUAAUUAUUCUAUUACAUUUUAGCAUUAUCUGUGUGUUUGAGUUAUUUAUAUCUGUUUCAUCUGUAUGAUGGGGACACUGUAUCAUGGUGUGCCACUGUACAUCUCUUCCCAUCAUCAACGUUACAUCAUCUCAUGUUGGUAACUUAAAACCAGCCAUGGUGGCCGGGCACAUUGGGUCACACCUAUAAUCCCAGCACUUUGGGAGGCUGAAGUGGGAGGAUGGCUUGAAGCUAGGGGUUUGAGACCAGCCUGGGCAACACAGUAAGACCCCGUCUCUACAAAACGUUUUUUUAAAAAUUAGCCAGGCAUGAUGAUGCACACCUGUGGCCCCAGCUACUCAGGAGGCCGAGGCAGGAGGAUUGCAUGAGCUCUUGAGUUUGAGGCUGCAGUGAGCUAUUACUGCACCACUGCACUCCAGCGGGGGUGACACAGUAAGAAUCUGUCUCUAAAAAAUAAAAAAGAGGGGCCAGGCAUGGUGGCUCAUGCCUGUAAUCCCAGAGCUUUGGGAGGCCGAGGCAGGUGGAUUACAAGGUCAGGAGAUCAAGACCAUCCUGGCCAACAUGGUGAAACCCCAUGUCUACUAAAAAUACAAAAAUUAGCUAGGCAUGGUGGCGCCCGCCUGUAGUCCCAGCUACUCGGGAGGCUGAGACAGGAGAAUCGCUUGAAUCCAGGAGGCGGAGGUUGCAGUGAACCAAGAUUGUGCCACUGCACUCCAGCCUGGCGACAGAGCAAGACACCAUCUCAAAUAAAUAAAAAAUAAAUAAAUAAAUAA
rnacentral:lncRNA from 1 species